GAAUGUGAUGGAAGCUAAAGAAGUAUGUAAGGAGCGUAGUAGGUGGCGCUCUGUAGUUUCUGUAUACCAUCAGAUGUAUGAAUGUGGUGGAAGCUAAAGAAGUAUGUAAGGAGCGUAGUAGGUGGCGCUCUGUAGUUUCUGUAUACCAUCAGAUGUAUGAAUGUGGUGGAAGCUAAAGAAGUAUGUAAGGAGCGUAGUAGGUGGCGCUCUGUAGUUUCUGUAUACCAUCAGAUGUAUGAAUGUGAUGGAAGCUAAAGAAGUAUGUAAGGAGCGUAGUAGGUGGCGCUCUGUAGUUUCUGUAUACCAUCAGAUGUAUGAAUGUGAUGGAAGCUAAAGAAGUAUGUAAGGAGCGCAGUAGGUGGCGCUCUGUAGUUUCUGUAUACCAUCAGAUGUAUGAAUGUGAUGGAAGCUAAAGAAGUAUGUAAGGAGCGUAGUAGGUGGCGCUCUGUAGUUUCUGUAUACCAUCAGAUGUAUGAAUGUGGUGGAAGCUAAAGAAGUAUGUAAGGAGCGUAGUAGGUGGCGCUCUGUAGUUUCUGUAUACCAUCAGAUGUAUGAAUGUGAUGGAAGCUAAAGAAGUAUGUAAGGAGCGCAGUAGGUGGCGCUCUGUAGUUUCUGUAUACCAUCAGAUGUAUGAAUGUGAUGGAAGCUAAAGAAGUAUGUAAGGAGCGUAGUAGGUGGCGCUCUGUAGUUUCUGUAUACCAUCAGAUGUAUGAAUGUGGUGGAAGCUAAAGAAGUAUGUAAGGAGCGUAGUAGGUGGCGCUCUGUAGUUUCUGUAUACCAUCAGAUGUAUGAAUGUGGUGGAAGCUAAAGAAGUAUGUAAGGAGCGUAGUAGGUGGCGCUCUGUAGUUUCUGUAUACCAUCAGAUGUAUGAAUGUGGUGGAAGCUAAAGAA